AAAAACAUGUCCUUUUGAUUUAAAUUUAAGGUCUAACCUGCUCAAUGAGUUAGUUUUAAAUAGCCGCAGUAUCUUAACUGUGCAAAGGUAGCAUAAUCAUUAGUUUCUUAAUUAGAAGCUGGAAUGAAGGGUUGAAUGAGAAAAUAACUGUCUCUAUGAAAAUUUAAUAGAAUUUUAUUUUUAAGUCAAAAAGCUUAAAUAGAAAUAAAAGACGAGAAGACCCUGUAGAGUUUUAUAUUUGUAUGCAAUAUUUUUUUUAGUAUUCUAAAAUUUAUUUUAUAUGUAAUAUUUAGUUGGGGUGAUUAGAAAAUUGAAUAAACUUUUCUUUCAUAGGGACAUUUAUUUAUGAAAAUAUGAUCCAUUUUUAUGAUUAUAAGAUAAAAUUACCUUAGGGAUAACAGCGUAAUUUUUUUUGAGAGUUCUUAUCGAAAAAAGAGAUUGCGACCUCGAUGUUGGAUUAAAAUGAAUUUUUGGUGUAGAAGCUGAAUUAAUUAGGUCUGUUCGACCUUUAAAAUUUUACUUGAUCUGAGUC
rnacentral:rRNA from 1 species